rnacentral:rRNA from 1 species
GGACUACCAGGGUAUCUAAUCCUGUUUGCUCCCCACGCUUUCGUGCAUGAGCGUCAGUAUUGGCCCAGGGGGCUGCCUUCGCCAUCGGUAUUCCUCCACAUCUCUACGCAUUUCACUGCUACACGUGGAAUUCUACCCCCCUCUGCCAUACUCCAGUCCGCCAGUCACCAAUGCAGUUCCCAGGUUAAGCCCGGGGAUUUCACAUCGGUCUUAGCGAACCGCCUGCGCACGCUUUACGCCCAGUAAUUCCGAUUAACGCUUGCACCCUACGUAUUACCGCGGCGGCUGGCAC